UACGGGGGGGGUAAGCGUUGUUCGGAAUUACUGGGCGUAAAGGGCUCGUAGGCGGCCAACUAAGUCAGACGUGAAAUCCCUCAGCUUAACUGGGGAACUGCGUCUGAUACUGGAUGGCUUGGAUCCGGGAGAGGGAUGCGGAAUUCCAGGUGUAGCGGUGAAAUGCGUAGAUAUCUGGAGGAACACCCGUGGCGAAGGCGGCUCUCUGGGACGGUACUGACGCUGAGACGCGAAAGCGUGGGGAGCGAACAGGA
rnacentral:rRNA from 1 species